rnacentral:misc_RNA from 1 species
AAGUCGUAACAAGGUUUCCGUAGGUGAACCUGCGGAAGGAUCAUUAACACGUAUCCGAACAAGUACUUCUGCGCUCCUCGGGGAAACCCGAGGUGUAGUUAAAAUUAAUACAACUGUUAACAAUGGAUAUGUUCUC